AGUGGAGCGUGGCGGCGGGCCGCAGCGCGUAGAAGACGCGCUUGAGGUGGACCGCGGCACCGUCCGCGGCUCCGCUGC
rnacentral:tRNA from 1 species